AAUCAUUAAUAAAUUGUAGUUAUCCAGAGUAAAUAAUUCCUUCAAGCAGGUAUUCUAUAAAAGACUCAAUUAUCAAGUAAUCACCCCACCGUACAUUCAGUGAAACAAAGUCAAAGUAAACACCGGCUCCUGGACAGCUGACGAAUUCUUCUUCUCUCUGUGGUUUUGGCGUAGCCCCCUGUCCUGACUUUGGUUUUUAUGCAUGAAAGUCUGAACUUACUGUGUAGCACUGAGCACAGAUACAAGUGCAGCAACACUGUGUGACCACUCGUCUCCAAGAUGAAAGAUUACGGUUUAAAAAUGCAGAUCUCUCAAAGCGGGGUUUUUAAAAAGCCAGAUGUUGGUGACAAUGUAUCAAGAAAGAGGGCUGCACCUCUGAGGCAAGAAAGUGGGAGAAAGUCUGACUGAAGAAACUCCAACAAUAGUGACCGAGUAGAAAUCCAGAAAAGGCACAGCUUUCCAAAGUGUUCCCAAAACCUUCGCUGUUCGAGCUGGCAGCAGACAGACAUUUAGUCAGAGUUGGGUUGGUCUGCAGUGCAUGGACAAAUUAUGUUUUGCUCACUUCAAAAGAAAUAUCAACUCCAGCAGACAGACGAGCAGGUUUCCCCUGCUGCUGUAGACCAUUCCAAAGCAUCAUAGCGACUGAUGAGAACCCCAAUAUUAAUCAGGCUUGAGAGGAGAGAAACUUUGUGCUGCAGGGCCUUAACACGCUCAUUUUUACCCCCCACACAAGAGUGCUGGCACCACAGGAAAGGCUAAGAUGCUUUACAAAAUAAGAGCCUGGGGAGCUCCAUGUCAAACAGAGUCGGUUCAUCGGCACUGACCAGAGGCUGAGCAGGAACCAGUGUUGCCAACUCCUCAGUAAGGAAAAUCGCUAUUGGCUGUCCUAAAAGUCGCUAAAUGACAUCAUCGCCUAAUUUGCAUAAUUGGUCAUGCUAAUAGUGAUGGUAAAUUCGAUUCUUUUUACUGAAUCGAGUUUUAAUGAGUCACUCACCAAAGUGAAUCGGGUUUCUUGAGUCAUUUGAGUCACUGAGUCAGUUGACCAGAGAGUGCAAAAAUGUAUAUUUUCACUCAAACUUAAUUUGUUUCUCUUUUAAUGUAAAUCCUACUGCUAAGAUAAAUGAUUGUAAAAGAAAACAACUAUUUUUUUUAGAGCAAAAAAGAGCAAAAAAAUUCUAAAGGGAACAUUUAUUUAUUUUUAUUUUAUUUUAUUGGUAUUUUCCUUAAAUGUGUCAAAUAUAUAUUUUCUCAUCUAAAUGUCCACUGAGCUGUGAGCCAGGGGGCAGUAAAGCACCUUAACAUUGGUUGCCAACCAAGAAGAAGCUGUGAGCCAGGAGGGAGGGGGUGGGUGAGUGAGUGAGUGAGUGAGUGAUUUAUAACAGGAAGGGAGGGGUGAGUGAGUGAGUGAGUGAGUGAGUGAUUUAUAACAGGAAGGGAGGGGGUGAGUGAGUCAGUGACUCGUUCAACUUGUUUGAGCUGUGAGCCAGGAGGGAGGGGGUUAGUGAGUCCUGAGUGAUUCGCUUAUGCUAUGAUUCAGCACAGCAAGGGAGGGGGUGAGU
ensembl:lncRNA